AUGGGAUUUAUUGAGUGGAGCAAUUUCUCCUCAGGGGACCAGACACAUAAAGCUUCUUACGACUCUUCCUUGACAUUUCACAAAAUAGAGAAAAAGGAAAGGAGAAAAAAUAUGCCUAAGGAAAGGCCGACUGUAAAGAAGAUUUUGAUUUUGGCAUUACUUUGAAAGGUUCCACCUACUUCCUGAACCCAUUGAAUGCUUAUUAUUGAACCAGCAUCAUAAGGAGGAUACAGCUUCAGCUUCAAAAAGACUGCACCAUAUGCAAAAACAUAGAAUAAAUGGAUAAAUAAUAAUUACUGAACUCCUAUU
rnacentral:lncRNA from 13 species